CGUCUGCCGUGAAAGUCCGGGGCUUAACUCCGGAUCUGCGGUGGGUACGGGCAGACCUGAGUGAUGUAGGGGAGACUGGAAUUCCUGGUGUAGCGGUGAAAUGCGCAGAUAUCAGGAGGAACACCGAUGGCGAAGGCAGGUCUCUGGGCAUUAACUGACGCUGAGGAGCGAAAGCAUGGGGAGCGAACAGGAUUAGAUACCCUGGUAGUCCAUGCCGUAAACGUUGGGCACUAGGUGUGGGGGACACUCCACGUUUUCCGCGCCGUAGCUAACGCAUUAAGUGCCCCGCCUGGGGAGUACGGCCGCAAGGCUAAAACUCAAAGGAAUUGACGGGGGCCCGCACAAGCGGCGGAGCAUGCGGAUUAAUUCGAUGCAACGCGAAGAACCUUACCAAGGCUUGACAUGAACCGGAACGGCGCAGAGAUGUGUCGGCCACUUGUGGCCGGUUUACAGGUGGUGCAUGGUUGUCGUCAGCUCGUGUCGUGAGAUGUUGGGUUAAGUCCCGCAACGAGCGCAACCCUCGUUCCAUGUUGCCAGCGGGUUAUGCCGGGGACUCAUGGGAGACUGCCGGGGUCAACUCGGAGGAAGGUGGGGACGACGUCAAAUCAUCAUGCCCCUUAUGUCUUGGGCUUCACGCAUGCUACAAUGGCCGGUACAAAGGGUUGCGAUGCUGUGAGGUGGAGCUAAUCCCAAAAAGCCGGUCUCAGUUCGGAUUGAGGUCUGCAACUCGACCUCA
rnacentral:rRNA from 1 species